GGCAAAAACAAUAUACAAAACAGAACUCAAAAUGUCAACCCUUCCUCCCAAAUCAUCUCUGAGCAGGCACUGAUAGGAAACAAAUAUUCCCUUAGGAAAAGCAACUUUCAAUUCCAGAUCUUCUGGAAAAUGGAAGUUAAAUAAAACCAGUCUGUCUAUAUUUACAGUUUUCAUUUUAUGGCAAACCUGUCUCUUGUACAUGGUUUCAGAGUAUUCUUACUUUUAAUUUUAGGGUUAAAGUCCUGACCCAUGUAAGGAGAGCAGUAUCCUUUGAGGGGUUUGUGAAGGUAAAGAAUGCUAACUGGGACCUGUGUCCUAAAAAGACAGUAUGUAGAGUACAUGUGCUACUUUUAAUUUACAUAAAUUAAAUACAGCAGGGGUUUUGGGAAGGGGCCUGCUGUGUGCUGCUGUACAUGAAAAUAUUAGCUACAGAAGUAAUAAUUUGUUUGUAGAUGAGUUUAAGUGGGGUAUGAUUUCUCUAAGUAUGUAUCAGUAUCUUCCAGAAAUCACACCUUUCAUUAUCUAAUACCAUAUAUCUCAGCCUUAGCCCCAUAUUUCCAAAUGAAGCAAAAGAUUCAAUUAUUAAAAUAUUACUUAAGGGUUUGAAAAUAACAAGAUCUUUUCAUUCAGUUGAAGUCAUCUUUUAUUAGGUACAAUGAAUACUAAAAGUUAACUAAGGAAUCUCUAUUGACAGGGCUCAAAAAUCAUUGUAAAGAACAAAUGGAUCCAUACCUUUGCACAUAAAAAAAAAAAACAAAAAAAAAACCCUCUCCUUUUUAGGAGAAAAUCAUUUACUAAUUACGUUAGAAACUUAAACUGGUAGCAUUAUCCUCUAAGACUAUGGCCCAAAGGUCUGGGGUUGUCCUUCUCUGCUUGAUUUUAUCUAGCCAGUGACAAGUCCUUAAAAAAAAUACAGGUCUUUAAAAGAUGCACUUUUAGAAAAACACUUGUUAGUAUUUGUGGUCUUAUCAAUUCUUUAAAGGUACUGAUGAUGGAGUUAGGGAACAGAGUUAAUAAAACCAUGAACUUGAAGUUGAGAACAUGUUAACAAUAAGCAAAAAAUUUUUAAAUUUUGUUUGUGGCACUUCAUUGUUGCUUUUGAUUUGUGCUAGAUUGUAAAAUUGAAUUUCUCCCUCAUGGGUCAAUAGGUCGAACGGGGGCAAGGAGGGAAAGGUUUCCUGCUCUUGCUGUAAGUGAAAUUAACCCACUUACUCCAUUUAGUCCUUUAGCUUCAUUUAUUAAAGAUCAUAGGAUCAUAGAUUUAGAGCUAGAAAGGACCGUGGAUGUUAUAUAGACAGCAUGAAAAGGUAGAGUGCAAUUAAGUAUUUAAAAUAGAAAACCAUAUGAAAGGCUUUUCCCAAGGGUAAUAACCAUUUUUUUUUAUUAGUGACAUGAUUCUUAUCCCAACAGCACCCUAUUAAGAAAGGAAAAUAUGAGGAUGACUAUUGUUAAGUCUGAUUCACUGUGUAUACAGAGCCUUCAAGAUUGAGGACAUUGAUAAGAUCAGCAUAGGAUUCUAUGAGCAUCAGAAAAAAACCUGUUGCUAGAUUGGCUUGCUGAACCACUGUUAACAUAGUAAGGCUACAGGGCUUAAUGAAAAUGAAAUUAUACCUGACAGACUUCAACUUCCUUAUCACCAAGCUCCCUGGAAUAAGCUAUGAGGCUGCUGGAAAGAAUAACACAUGCUGGAGCUAAUCAAUCCUUCCCAAUAAAUCAGGGGACAAUUUGAAGAAGGAAUUUAAAAGUCAGCAAAGGCCAGAAAAUUACAAAAAAAAAAUAAUUUAAAUCCAAGAAUUUCCAAAUUUAAAAUUGUGACUAAGGCACUUUGAUCUUCCAGAUUACUGCAAGAUAUUUUCCUGCAAGAAAAUGUCCUUAGCCUUAAUAAAGAAUUUUUCUUCUUUUAAAAAAUAAAGAAAAAAGGCAAGGGAAACUUCAAAAUUAGUUAAUGAAAAAUAACUUUUUCUUUGACCCAGAAUGUAAUUUGUAUUCUUUAUUCUAAGACCAGUCUCUCCGGUAGCUCGAGAGUAUCUUAUGAGCAAUGCUUUCCCUUUACGCAUAUGAUACGGAACACAGAACAUCUCAGCAAGUUGCUUAUGACCUCACAAUCGAGCAGAAUUCAAUGGUUUGUUUCCUUACUAUGUUC
ensembl:lncRNA